rnacentral:rRNA from 1 species
UCCCGACGGUCCGAGUCGCAGCCACAAUUAUUGGGUCUAAAACAUCCGUAGCUUGCCUUGUAAGUCUUUUGUGAAAUCUGGCAUCUUAAGUGUCGGGCGAGCAAGAGAUACUGCAUGGCUAGAGACUGGAGGAUGCAAAGAGUACAGUCGAGGUAGUGGUAAAAUACGUUAAUCUUGAUUGGACUAACAACAGCGAAGGCACUUUGCAACGACAGAUCUGACAGUGAGGGAUGAAGGCUAGGGGC